UUAAGUUCAGCGGGUAUUCCUACCUGAUCCGAGGUCAACCUUGUUAAGUGGUGUGUUUUACGGCAAGCACCCGCGCCACGCCCAGAGCGAGAUAUUGCUACUGCGCUCGGUGUGACAGCGAGCCCGCCACUGGUUAAGGGCCUGCGGCAGCCGCAGGUCCCCAACACAAGCCGGGGGCUUGAUGGUUGAAAUGACGCUCG
rnacentral:misc_RNA from 1 species